AUAAUUAGAUAAUCAAUAUUAUUAAUAAUUUAUUAUUUAUAAUUAAUUAAUAAGAAUAAUUAAUAAUUAUUAUUAUUUAUUAAUAAUUAAUAAUAAUAAUUAUUAUUAUUAAUUAGAUAAUCGUUAUUAAUAAUUUAUUAUUUAUAAUUAAUUAUUAUUAUUAAUUAUUAUUUAUAAUUAAUUAUUAAUAAUUAAUUUUUUAUUUAUUUUUAAGUAAUAUUUUUAUGUUAAUUAAUUACAUAAUAUAAUUUUAAUUUCAAAUUAUAACAUUUAUUCCUCUUGUUCCAAUCUAAUCAUCCAAACACUAUUUACCUUAUUCCUAGAAACAACCCAAUUUUCAUCCAAACGCAAAAUUGGUCCAGUUCCUGCUUAUACCUGAACUUGUACCUAUCCCUGGAACUAGUAAUUCUUACUUAUAUCCGAACCAAACGCAGCCUUAGACUCUUUCCAGUGGAAAGCAAGUUAUUAUAC
rnacentral:lncRNA from 1 species